UUAAGCGACUAAGCGUACACGGUGGAUGCCCUGGCAGUCAGAGGCGAUGAAGGACGUGCUAAUCUGCGAUAAGCGUCGGUAAGGUGAUAUGAACCGUUAUAACCGGCGAUUUCCGAAUGGGGAAACCCAGUGUGAUUCGUCACACUAUCAUUAACUGAAUCCAUAGGUUAAUGAGGCGAACCGGGGGAACUGAAACAUCUAAGUACCCCGAGGAAAAGAAAUCAACCGAGAUUCCCCCAGUAGCGGCGAGCGAACGGGGAGCAGCCCAGAGCCUGAAUCAGUGUGUGUGUUAGUGGAAGCGUCUGGAAAGGCGCGCGAUACAGGGUGACAGCCCCGUACACAAAAAUGCACAUGCUGUGAGCUCGAUGAGUAGGGCGGGACACGUGGUAUCCUGUCUGAAUAUGGGGGGACCAUCCUCCAAGGCUAAAUACUCCUGACUGACCGAUAGUGAACCAGUACCGUGAGGGAAAGGCGAAAAGAACCCCGGCGAGGGGAGUGAAAAAGAACCUGAAACCGUGUACGUACAAGCAGUGGGAGCCUCUUAAUGGGGUGACUGCGUACCUUUUGUAUAAUGGGUCAGCGACUUAUAUUCUGUAGCAAGGUUAACCGAAUAGGGGAGCCGAAGGGAAACCGAGUCUUAACUGGGCGUUAAGUUGCAGGGUAUAGACCCGAAACCCGGUGAUCUAGCCAUGGGCAGGUUGAAGGUUGGGUAACACUAACUGGAGGACCGAACCGACUAAUGUUGAAAAAUUAGCGGAUGACUUGUGGCUGGGGGUGAAAGGCCAAUCAAACCGGGAGAUAGCUGGUUCUCCCCGAAAGCUAUUUAGGUAGCGCCUCGUGAAUUCAUCUCCGGGGGUAGAGCACUGUUUCGGCAAGGGGGUCAUCCCGACUUACCAACCCGAUGCAAACUGCGAAUACCGGAGAAUGUUAUCACGGGAGACACACGGCGGGUGCUAACGUCCGUCGUGAAGAGGGAAACAACCCAGACCGCCAGCUAAGGUCCCAAAGUCAUGGUUAAGUGGGAAACGAUGUGGGAAGGCCCAGACAGCCAGGAUGUUGGCUUAGAAGCAGCCAUCAUUUAAAGAAAGCGUAAUAGCUCACUGGUCGAGUCGGCCUGCGCGGAAGAUGUAACGGGGCUAAACCAUGCACCGAAGCUGCGGCAGCGACGCUUAUGCGUUGUUGGGUAGGGGAGCGUUCUGUAAGCCUGCGAAGGUGUACUGUGAGGUAUGCUGGAGGUAUCAGAAGUGCGAAUGCUGACAUAAGUAACGAUAAAGCGGGUGAAAAGCCCGCUCGCCGGAAGACCAAGGGUUCCUGUCCAACGUUAAUCGGGGCAGGGUGAGUCGACCCCUAAGGCGAGGCCGAAAGGCGUAGUCGAUGGGAAACAGGUUAAUAUUCCUGUACUUGGUGUUACUGCGAAGGGGGGACGGAGAAGGCUAUGUUGGCCGGGCGACGGUUGUCCCGGUUUAAGCGUGUAGGCUGGUUUUCCAGGCAAAUCCGGAAAAUCAAGGCUGAGGCGUGAUGACGAGGCACUACGGUGCUGAAGCAACAAAUGCCCUGCUUCCAGGAAAAGCCUCUAAGCAUCAGGUAACAUCAAAUCGUACCCCAAACCGACACAGGUGGUCAGGUAGAGAAUACCAAGGCGCUUGAGAGAACUCGGGUGAAGGAACUAGGCAAAAUGGUGCCGUAACUUCGGGAGAAGGCACGCUGAUAUGUAGGUGAAGUCCCUUGCGGAUGGAGCUGAAAUCAGUCGAAGAUACCAGCUGGCUGCAACUGUUUAUUAAAAACACAGCACUGUGCAAACACGAAAGUGGACGUAUACGGUGUGACGCCUGCCCGGUGCCGGAAGGUUAAUUGAUGGGGUUAGCGGUAACGCGAAGCUCUUGAUCGAAGCCCCGGUAAACGGCGGCCGUAACUAUAACGGUCCUAAGGUAGCGAAAUUCCUUGUCGGGUAAGUUCCGACCUGCACGAAUGGCGUAAUGAUGGCCAGGCUGUCUCCACCCGAGACUCAGUGAAAUUGAACUCGCUGUGAAGAUGCAGUGUACCCGCGGCAAGACGGAAAGACCCCGUGAACCUUUACUAUAGCUUGACACUGAACAUUGAGCCUUGAUGUGUAGGAUAGGUGGGAGGCUUUGAAGUGUGGACGCCAGUCUGCAUGGAGCCGACCUUGAAAUACCACCCUUUAAUGUUUGAUGUUCUAACGUUGGCCCCUAAUCGGGGUUGCGGACAGUGUCUGGUGGGUAGUUUGACUGGGGCGGUCUCCUCCUAAAGAGUAACGGAGGAGCACGAAGGUUGGCUAAUCCUGGUCGGACAUCAGGAGGUUAGUGCAAUGGCAUAAGCCAGCUUGACUGCGAGCGUGACGGCGCGAGCAGGUGCGAAAGCAGGUCAUAGUGAUCCGGUGGUUCUGAAUGGAAGGGCCAUCGCUCAACGGAUAAAAGGUACUCCGGGGAUAACAGGCUGAUACCGCCCAAGAGUUCAUAUCGACGGCGGUGUUUGGCACCUCGAUGUCGGCUCAUCACAUCCUGGGGCUGAAGUAGGUCCCAAGGGUAUGGCUGUUCGCCAUUUAAAGUGGUACGCGAGCUGGGUUUAGAACGUCGUGAGACAGUUCGGUCCCUAUCUGCCGUGGGCGCUGGAGAACUGAGGGGGGCUGCUCCUAGUACGAGAGGACCGGAGUGGACGCAUCACUGGUGUUCGGGUUGUCAUGCCAAUGGCACUGCCCGGUAGCUAAAUGCGGAAGAGAUAAGUGCUGAAAGCAUCUAAGCACGAAACUUGCCCCGAGAUGAGUUCUCCCUGACUCCCUGAGAGUCCUGAAGGAACGUUGAAGACGACGACGUUGAUAGGCCGGGUGUGUAAGCGCAGCGAUGCGUUGAGCUAACCGGUACUAAUGAACCGUGAGGCUUAACCUU
rnacentral:rRNA from 1 species